rnacentral:rRNA from 1 species
GAUGAACGCUAGCUACAGGCUUAACACAUGCAAGUCGAGGGGCAGCGGGAUUGAAGCUUGCUUCAAUUGCCGGCGACCGGCGCACGGGUGAGUAACGCGUAUCCAACCUUCCGUACACUCAGGGAUAGCCUUUCGAAAGAAAGAUUAAUACCUGAUGGUAUGAUGAGAUUGCAUGAUAGCAUCAUUAAAGAUUUAUCGGUGUACGAUGGGGAUGCGUUCCAUUAGGUAGUAGGCGGGGUAACGGCCCACCUAGCCUACGAUGGAUAGGGGUUCUGAGAGGAAGGCCCCCCCANAUUGGAACUGAGACACGGUCCAAACUCCUACGGGAGGCAGCAGUGAGGAAUAUUGGUCAAUGGACGAGAGUCUGAACCAGCCAAGUAGCGUGAAGGAUGAAGGUCUUACGGAUUGUAAACUUCUUUUAUAAGGGAAUAAACCCUCCCACGUGUGGGAGCUUGUAUGUACCUUAUGAAUAAGCAUCGGCUAACUCCGUGCCAGCAGCCG